CUAAAUAUGAAAAAUAACAAAAGAUAUUAAAAGGGCCGGGUAAUUUUUGAGUAGGAAGAAGUUGAAGCAGCAAAAUCAAGCAGAAUUCAGUUGAAAAUGGCGGAAGAAGAAGAAGAAUGGCGGCGGAAAUUGGAGAAGAUGGUGGUUUCUGUUUACUGGUCGCGAAAAUAAAAAACAAACCUUCAACGUUCCACGCUGGCGUGGAACAUAAUUACAAAUCCUACCCAUAGCCCAGCCCACGAUCACCAGCCCACGACCACCAGCCCACGAGCACUAGUCCAGCCUCCAAGCCCACGGGCGCAGAAGCCCAAAACUUCCACGCUAUUUCAACCAGCGUGGAACAGAAAGAUUCGGAAAUUAAUAUCCACGCUGGUUGGACCAGCGUGGAAGAUAAAAUUUAGAAAAAAAAAAAGGUUUUGCGUUAGGGUUACCCCUGAUAUAGGUAUAGGAGAUGUGAAAAAAAAAAUGAUGGGAAAGUAGGUGGCACCCACGUGUAUGCUAAAUCGUCCCAUGUGUCGGCAAUAUUUAGGAGACCCAUUAGAGAUGCUCUAAUCUAUUGAUUAUUGUAAAUUUGCGAUGAUAGAGUUAGGUUUCCUGAUGUGAUCCCAACCAUCCAACACAAUUUAAGUUUGGACCCAAUUUAAUCCAACGACUAAUAAAUGAGUUUGUCUCCAAUCCAAUCACAGCCGUAGAUCUAAUUUACAACUUCGAACUCGAGAGAAUCUAGAACGCUACUUAUAACCCCAACUUAUCUAUUUUAUGUACCCUUUGUAGAUUAUAAAAUAGACUAGUAAAACCCGUGGUGCUGCCACGAUUGCCAAUUAAUUGUAUCCUGCAUAGCAAAUUGUAAUUUAGAUAAAUAGAUUUUGUUUGUUUGAUUAAAAGUCGGUGAUUAUAUUCAAUAAUUUUUAUAGAUUAGAUAAUGGUUAUAUUUUGUUAUUUUAUUGUUAUCUAGGGGUGACAGUAAUUUAUCGGUUGAAUCACAAAGGCAAAUAUAUAUUUUUUGACACUUAAUUGUUAUCUAGGGGUGAUACUUUUUGUUGUUUUACUGUCUGUGUCUUAAUACGUAUAUGCAUCCAAACCUGAUGAUUAAGCUACCAAGUAAUAAAAGUUACAUAAAAGAGAUCCCAAAUCAAAAUAAAAACUUAAUUUUUAUCUCUACUCAAAUAAAAUAAAAGCAAAUCGAUGAUAUGAAAAUGUAAGAUAUAGGUCAAUCAAAAAAAUCGCGUUCACCGUUAAUAAAAUCUAUGAUAUGAAAUGUACCAAUUUAUGUCCCGGUAAGUGUCUGUAGGAUGAUUGAAAGAACUCCAAGGUUUAAACUCGUCGUUGAUGACCUACAACUCAACAUGUGAAAAUUAAAUCCAAACAUUUUCCAGCUAACUUAUUGAAUCCCACUACAUAUGCUGCCAUUGUGCCAUUUCCAUGACAUUAUGCUCAAACUCUAAGGUUUUCUUUGUUCGUACAUAUAAGUUGAAAUUGAACGCAUCAAAUGUUGAUGAAAUUUUUUCCAAAAGAAAAAUAGUUGGCUUGUACCUUCCAGCUAACACGUAUCUAUGCUCGUAAUCAGUAGGGAUUGGGAGGAUCUUCACCAUCACUUAACCUCUUUUAACUGCUUCUAAACUUUCAACCAAUGUAAAUAAAAGUUUUAUUCAACUGAAAAAACAAUUGAGCCCAAGCUUUGAUUGAUUGAUCUAUACUUUAGUUGGUCAGAGUAGCACAUAACUAAAUCUCAAUAUUAAUCUGUAAAAAAUAAAAUGAUGGAGGAAGGGCUUGAACCUUCAACCUUGUGGUUAAAUAGCCACAUGCUCUAACCAAUUGAGCUACUCCAGUUAAUUAUGCACAUUCUGAUAAAUGUCAAAACUAAUCUAAAAGUACAUGAAAUGUUUACCCUAUUAGAUUAAAUAUCCACAGUCAAGAGCAACUUUUGCUAAAUUAACUUAAGUUUUCUAAAGGAAAAACAGUAAAAAGAAUGCCAAUCACAUAUUAAGUUAUUAAGUACAUGGAUCUAAGAUACAUUUAUGCUCUCUGAAACAAUAAUUUAGGGUUGUUCCGCUUUGUCAAUAAAAAAAGGUGGGGAAUCAGGGGAAUUGAAACUUGACAACAGAUUACCAUUCUUCUUACAUAAAGUCCGCAAAAGUACAAUUAAAUUUUUAAUUUUUUUUAAACUUAAAAGAUCACCAUUCUCUUACAUAAAGUCGGCAAAAGAAGAACUAAAAUUUUAAUGUUUGAGGCGAGCAGUAAGCUUUCAAUCUUUUAGUAUAUUUGAAUAGAGCUACGCCAUAUUGGGUUCUCAAUCAACUAAAUAUCCAACUAAUUGACGCAGGAAGCAAGUCUAAGAUGAAAACCGGGAGCAAGUCAACUUAAAGAUAAUUACCUUUUCAAGCUAAAUGCUCAAAAGAAGCAAGUCUUAAAUCACAUUCAUAUAUUUGAGCUACUUCAGAAAUCGAUUUAAAGAUAUAACUUACCAGAAAAGGUUUCUUUGCGGAAUAGUCAGAAUUUGCUAGAAAAAGAUAUGAAGUUCGUGUUAAUUCAUUGCAUAACAGGGACGUCUGCAAUAAAAUAUGAGCCAAUGACAAACUGAGCCAACGAAUAAUUACAAAACUAAUGUCAAAAUAAAACACUACAUCAGCUAAAAAGUUUAAACAAAGGCUGGAAAAAAAAAAAGAUAAAAGAUUAACUUGCAAUAAGAGGAGUACGUUGAAGAAGGGUUGAAUUUCAAUGACGAUCUGAGCCAAUGAAGAAUACCGAAAUAAAUAUC
rnacentral:lncRNA from 1 species